GCAUCUGCCUUCAAAUAGGAGCGCAUGCGGGGAAAUGAACCCGCAGGCUGCACGCUGCGGUAUGCUGGAAACCCCAUCCCGUCGGCAUGGCGGAAGGGCAAUCAGCAGGCAACCCCGUUGGUAUUCGCAUGGAAUUCCGCGGGGAGUCCUCAGAGACUAUGAGCAGCGCGGCUGAGAAGCCGAAGAUAUAGUCCAGCCCCCGCAGGAAUGCGGGA
rnacentral:ncRNA from 1 species